rnacentral:rRNA from 1 species
ACGGGUAACGGAGGAUUAGGGUUUGAUUCCGGAGAAGGAGCAUGAGAAACGGCUACUAUUUCUAAGGAAAGCAGCAGGCGCGCAAAUUAUUCAAUGGAAACAAUUUUCCGAAAUAGUGACAAAAAAUAUCAAUGCUGGAUACUAUGUAUUUAGUAAUUGGAAUGAGUACAAUUUAAAUCCCUUAACAAGUAACAAUUAGAGGGCAAGUCUGGUGCCAGCAGCCGCGGUAAUUCCAGCUCUAAUAGCGUAUAUUAAUAUUGUUGCAGUUAAAAAGCUCGUAGUUGAAAUUUGGAACUUUAUUAUAUUGGUUUAUCUUUUGAUGAACUGUAUGAUGGGUUUCUUCCUACUAGAGUUCGAUUCUGUUCUUAAACUGAAUGGAGUAGUUAUCUUUCGGGGUGGUCAGUUGGUUAUUAUAUCUCCACUAAUAAGCAGAGAGGGGUUAAACCUUUGAAGUGAGUUAUGUGGGUCAAGGUAUAAUGAUUAAUUGGAGUUCUAGUUC